rnacentral:ncRNA from 1 species
CUUUGCCACUCCACUUCUUGGCCUGCGGCGGCAUAUCAAAAGGAGGAAGAUCCGCUGUGACUGGCGGUGCGGCAGUGUGGAGACCUGUCGUAAGGCGGCGCGCUGUAAAGCGGCUGCGAGACCGUUCCUUGCGGAGGCAGAACGGUUACAGUCAUUCAUUAUGGCA